rnacentral:rRNA from 1 species
UACGAAGGGGGCUAGCGUUGCUCGGAAUGACUGGGCGUAAAGGGCGCGUAGGCGGCUUUGUAAGUUAGAGGUGAAAGCCCGGGGCUCAACCCCGGAACUGCCUUUGAGACUGCGUCGCUCGAAUCCGGGAGAGGCGGGUGGAAUUCCGAGUGUAGAGGUGAAAUUCGUAGAUAUUCGGAAGAACACCAGUGGCGAAGGCGGCCCGCUGGACCGGCAUUGACGCUGAGGUGCGAAAGCGUGGGGAGCAAACAGG